rnacentral:tRNA from 1 species
AGCAAGGUGGCUGAAGUAGAAGGUGAUAGAUUGUAAAUCUAUUAAUGGAGUUUUGACUCUCCUUGCUA